GAUGAACGCUGGCGGCGUGCCUAAUACAUGCAAGUCGAACGCUGAAGGAGGAGCUUGCUCUUCUGGAUGAGUUGCGAACGGGUGAGUAACGCGUAGGUAACCUGCCUGGUAGCGGGGGAUAACUAUUGGAAACGAUAGCUAAUACCGCAUGACAACAGUUAUUGCAUGAUAACUGUUUAAAAGGGGCAACUGCUCCACUACCAGAUGGACCUGCGUUGUAUUAGCUAGUUGGUGAGGUAACGGCUCACCAAGGCGACGAUACAUAGCCGACCUGAGAGGGUGAGCGGCCACACUGGGACGGAGACACGGCCCAGACUCCUACGGGAGGCAGCAGUAGGGAAACUUCGGCAAGGGACGGAAGUCUGACCGAGCAACGCCGAGUGAGUGAAGAAGGUUGUCGGAUCGUAAAGCUCGGUUGUAAGAGAAGAAAGAGUGUGAGAGUGGAAAGUUCACACUGUGACGGUAUCUUACCAGAAAGGGACGGCUAACUACGUG
rnacentral:rRNA from 1 species